rnacentral:rRNA from 1 species
CCGAAUGGGGAAACCCAGUGUGAUUCGUCACACUAUCAUUAACUGAAUCCAUAGGUUAAUGAGGCGAACCGGGGGAACUGAAACAUCUAAGUACCCCGAGGAAAAGAAAUCAACCGAGAUUCCCCCAGUAGCGGCGAGCGAACGGGGAGGAGCCCAGAGCCUGAAUCAGCAUGUGUGUUAGUGGAAGCGUCUGGAAAGGCGCGCGAUACAGGGUGACAGCCCCGUACACAAAAGCGCAUGUGUUGUGAGCUCGAUGAGUAGGGCGGGACACGUGGUAUCCUGUCUGAAUAUGGGGGGACCAUCCUCCAAGGCUAAAUACUCCUGACUGACCGAUAGUGAACCAGUACCGUGAGGGAAAGGCGAAAAGAACCCCGGCGAGGGGAGUGAAAAAGAACCUGAAACCGUGUACGUACAAGCAGUGGGAGC